AAGUCGUAACAAGGUUUCCGUAGGUGAACCUGCGGAAGGAUCAUUCCUGAGAUUACAUUCUCUAUAUCUAUCUAUCCUGUGUUGUUGAUUUGAUUGAUGAAUUUGGGGGAGGUGGUGAAUGAAGUGUGUGUGUGCAUGUGUUGGAUCCUUUGUCUGAGUGCUUUCAUAUCCAUCCAUUCAUCAUCAUAUACACUUGUUCACCAUCUCCAUCAUCAUCAUCAUGAUAAUAUUAUUAUUCAUAUCUAUCCUUAUACUUUAUAUCUAUUCUAUUAACUGACUGAUCAUUGCUUUGUAAUGACUGUUAUAUUAUAACAAUAAUACAACUGUUGACAACGGAUCACUCGGCUCUCGU
rnacentral:misc_RNA from 1 species